rnacentral:rRNA from 1 species
AGAGUUUGAUCCUGGCUCAGGACGAACGCUGGUGGCGUGCUUAACACAUGCAAGUCGAACGGAAAGGCCCUUCGGGGUACUCGAGUGGCGAACGGGUGAGUAACACGUGGGUGAUCUGCCCUGCACUUUGGGAUAAGCCUGGGAAACUGGGUCUAAUACCGAAUAUGACCACGCUCUUCAUGGGGUGUGGUGGAAAGCUUUUGCGGUGUGGGAUGGGCCCGCGGCCUAUCAGCUUGUUGGUGGGGUAAUGGCCUACCAAGGCGACGACGGGUAGCCGGCCUGAGAGGGUGACCGGCCACACUGGGACUGAGAUACGGCCCAGACUCCUACGGGAGGCAGCAGUGGGGAAUAUUGCACAAUGGGCGCAAGCCUGAUGCAGCGACGCCGCGUGAGGGAUGACGGCCUUCGGGUUGUAAACCUCUUUCACCAGGGACGAAGCGCAAGUGACGGUACCUGGAGAAGAAGCACCGGCCAACUACGUGCCAGCAGCCGCGGUAAUACGUAGGGUGCGAGCGUUGUCCGGAAUUACUGGGCGUAAAGAGCUCGUAGGUGGUUUGUCGCGUUGUUCGUGAAAACUCACAGCUUAACUGUGGGCGUGCGGGCGAUACGGGCAGACUAGAGUACUGCAGGGGAGACUGGAAUUCCUGGUGUAGCGGUGGAAUGCGCAGAUAUCAGGAGGAACACCGGUGGCGAAGGCGGGUCUCUGGGCAGUAACUGACGCUGAGGAGCGAAAGCGUGGGGAGCGAACAGGAUUAGAUACCCCGGUAGUCCAA